GUGCACAUGAUGGAAAGCUGUUUUUGAGUUUCCUGAGACUUAAUGAUGUCUUCAAAGGAACCGCUGAUGCAC